rnacentral:rRNA from 1 species
GUGCCAGCAGCCGCGGUAAUACGUAGGGGGCAAGCGUUGUCCGGAUUUAUUGGGCGUAAAGCGCUCGCAGGUGGUCCGUUGCGUCGUGCGUGAAAGACCCCGGCUCAACUGGGGGGCGUCGUGCGAUACGGGCGGACUAGAGGCCAGUAGGGGGAUGCGGAAUUCCGGGUGUAGUGGUGGAAUGCGUAGAGAUCCGGAGGAACACCAGCGGCGAAGGCGGCAUCCUGGACUGGUCCUGACACUCAGGAGCGAAAGCGUGGGGAGCGAUCCGGAUUAGAAACCCUCGUAGUCC